rnacentral:rRNA from 1 species
AGUGAACGCUGGCGGUAGGCCUAACACAUGCAAGUCGAACGGCAGCACAGUAAGAGCUUGCUCUUACGGGUGGCGAGUGGCGGACGGGUGAGGAAUACAUCGGAAUCUACUUUUUCGUGGGGGAUAACGUAGGGAAACUUACGCUAAUACCGCAUACGACCUACGGGUGAAAGCAGGGGAUCUUCGGACCUUGCGCGAUUGAAUGAGCCGAUGUCGGAUUAGCUAGUUGGCGGGGUAAAGGCCCACCAAGGCGACGAUCCGUAGCUGGUCUGAGAGGAUGAUCAGCCACACUGGAACUGAGACACGGUCCAGACCCCUACGGGAGGCAGCAGUGGGGAAUAUUGGACAAUGGGCGCAAGCCUGAUCCAGCCAUACCGCAUGGGUGAAGAAGGCCUUCGGGUUGUAAAGCCCUUUUGUUGGGAAAGAAAAGCAGCAGGUUAAUACCCCGCUGUUCUGACGGUACCCAAAGAAUAAGCACCGGCUAACUUCGUG